GAACGCUGGCGGAAUGCUUUACACAUGCAAGUCGAACGGCAGCACGGACUUCGGUCUGGUGGCGAGUGGCGAACGGGUGAGUAAUAUAUCGGAACGUGCCCAGUCGUGGGGGAUAACGUAGCGAAAGUUACGCUAAUACCGCAUACGAUCUACGGAUGAAAGCGGGGGAUCGCAAGACCUCGCGCGAUUGGAGCGGCCGAUAUCAGAUUAGGUAGUUGGUGAGGUAAAGGCUCACCAAGCCGACGAUCUGUAGCUGGUCUGAGAGGACGACCAGCCACACUGGGACUGAGACACGGCCCCAGACUCCUACGGGAGGCAGCAGUGGGAAUUUUGGACAAUGGGCGCAAGCCUGAUCCAGCAAUGCCGCGUGCAGGAUGAAGGCCUUCGGGUUGUAAACUGCUUUUGUACGGAACGAAACGGUGAGCUCUAAUACAGUUUGCUAAUGACGGUACCGUAAGAAUAAGCACCGGCUAACUACGUG
rnacentral:rRNA from 1 species